rnacentral:rRNA from 1 species
UACGGAAGGCAGCAGUGGGGAAUAUUGCACAAUGGGCGCAAGCCUGAUGCAGCCAUGCCGCGUGUAUGAAGAAGGCCUUCGGGUUGUAAAGUACUUUCAGUCGUGAGGAAGGUGUUAAGGUUAAUAACCUUAGCAAUUGACGUUAGCGACAGAAGAAGCACCGGCUAACUCCGUGCCAGCAGCCGCGGUAAUACGGAGGGUGCGAGCGUUAAUCGGAAUUACUGGGCGUAAAGGGCACGCAGGCGGUUAAUUAAGUUGGAUGUGAAAUCCCCGGGCUUAACCUGGGAAUGGCAUUCAAGACUGGUUAGCUAGAGUCUUGUAGAGGGGGUAGAAUUCCAUGUGUAGCGGUGAAAUGCGUAGAGAUGUGGAGGAAAUACCGGUGGCGAAAGGCGGCCCCUGGACAAAGACUGACGCUCAUGUGCGAAAAGCGUGGGGAGCAAAAC